rnacentral:rRNA from 1 species
AACGCGAAGAACCUUACCAAGGCUUGACAUGGACCGGACCGCCGCAGAAAUGUGGUUUCUCCUUUUGGGGCCGGUUCACAGGUGGUGCAUGGUUGUCGUCAGCUCGUGUCGUGAGAUGUUGGGUUAAGUCCCGCAACGAGCGCAACCCUCGUUCCAUGUUGCCAGCACUUAGGGUGGGGACUCAUGGGAGACUGCCGGGGUCAACUCGGAGGAAGGUGGGGACGACGUCAAAUCAUCAUGCCCCUUAUGUCUUGGGCUUCACGCAUGCUACAAUGGCCGGUACAAAGGGUUGCGAUACUGUGAGGUGGAGCUAAUCCCAAAAAGCCGGUCUCAGUUCGGAUUGGGGUCUGCAACUCGACCCCAUGAAGUCGGAGUCGCUAGUAAUCGCAGAUCAGCAACGCUGCGGUGAAUACGUUCCCGGGCCUUGUACACACCGA